CUUAAAAAAAACAAAAAAACCAAGGAUUGACUCAACUGUUUAGUGGUUACUCAAAACCUCAACUUUAUCUAGUCACUUUUAUUCGCAUCUCCACACACACACACACACACACACACAUACGAAGAGAGAGAGAGACACACAGAAUUCGCAGACUCGGAGAGAUAGAGAAAGCGGAGACGGAACUCGCUGAGUGAAAGCGGGAGAGAUGGCCGCCGCUGCAAAGGCCGGUGGAGAUCAUCCACUCACCGCCGCUCGUCCUUCUCCCCUCCUUCAAGUGCAUGAUGCUUACCAGGAUGGUGUAGGUGUGGAAAUCAGCAGUGGGAUCGAACCAAAGGUAGAAUUGCUGUUCUCUAUUGCCCUGGCCAUGGCAGAAGACAUUUGUGUGAAGGAUGUAAGGAUCACCACUUAGGUUUCCCAGGAAUUCAAAGUCUAUCUCAUCAUGGUAUUGCCCUUGUGAGGACAGCUGGAGCACAUAGAAAUCUUGUAAGUCAAGGGAAAAUACACGAAUAAAGUUCAGGGGAAAACACAAAAUGCAAUAAUGUAUAGACAUACAUACAUUCAAAUUUGGACUUUGUUGAAGGACUAAAAAAAGUGUCAGUUGACCUAAAGGUUAUUGGCAAGGGGUGUUUAUUACACACAAACACACAAAUGUACACACACACGCGAUAUAAACUAUGGCAUGAUUUCCAAUGAAGUCAUGAUUUCUGAUUAAAUCUUGUGUGUGUGUACGUUUUUGUGUGUUAACAUACGUGUAAGAGUAAUUUCUCUAUGGCAAUAUGCAUGAUACUUACAUAGUAGGCAGUGACAGUUCCAGCAGAAUUGCCAGCAACAAGCUUGAUAUUCAUGUCAAUCUUUGCAUAAACAUACUGAUUCUUGGACACGAAGCCUGACCCACAUUCCUUGGUAAGGGAGAGCGUAAGGAGGUCUCCUUUGUUGAGUAUCUGAGAAUUACUCUGUCCCCAAUUAUAGUCAAAGGAAUCGAGGAAUGGACCAGCAAAUGCAGCCGUGAAAAAGCUAAGCAGCAGAGAUAUUUGCAGCCCCACCGAAGCAUUUGAAGGACUAAAAGCCAUAUUUGAUGUUUUCUGGUUGGAAAUGUAAUUGGUAGAGACAAUGAUGUUGGAGUAGUCUACCUUGAUUUUUGAUUUGAUUUUGGUACAAUAGGUAGCAUUUUAUAUACUACAAAGACUUGGAAGGUUCAUAGUCUUUGAUUUGAAAAUAGUGAGUUGUAAAAUUGAUAGUUGUAAUCAACUACAAUGGGUUAGUGGGGCUCCAUAAUCUAGCUAGCUGGGGUCCUCACAUAUACAAAGCCUUCCCUUUUCUUA